CCCGCCCUUCUGCUUCGCACGCAUGCGUACCACGUCACGCAGGCAGUGCCGGUUCCUAGGGAGAGGAGUGCUGUCGCUGCCGAUUGUGUAGCGUCUCGGGUGGGCCGAGAGAAAACAAACAUCCUUCGCUUGUCACUUGGGGCUGCGAACUGAGAUGUAAUUCGGCAGAUCCUUCAUGAUGAUCGAUAAAAGCAUUUAUAUUGUGCAAGGUGAAAUAAAUAGUGUCGUUGGUGCUAUAAAGCGAAAUUCAAGAUGGACCACUCAUACUCCAUUGGAGGAAGAGCAAGAUCUACUUCUAAAUAGUUUCAAUCAUCUCAAGGAUAUCUUGAACAAUAUAACAGG